GUGUGUGUGUGUGUGUGUGUGUGUGUGUGUGUGUGUGUGUGGUAUCGUGGUGUGAAAAAUAAUUGUUACUUUUUUUGCAAUUUAAAAACGAUUAAAAGUUGCCGGGGACAACAUUUCCCUGGACCCUAGGCUACUGAAAAUGUUCCCGGACCCUAGGCUACUGAAAAUGUUCCCGGACCCUAGGCUACUGAAAAUGUUCCCGGACCCUAGGCUACUGAAAAUGUUCCCAGACCCUAGGCUACUGAAAAUGUUCCCAGACCCUAGGCUACUGAAAAUGUUCCCAGACCCUAGGCUACUGAAAAUGUUCCCAGACCCUAGGCUACUGAAAAUGUUCCCAGACCCUAGGCUACUGAAAAUGUUCCCAGACCCUCGGCUACUGAAAAGGUUCCCAGACCCUAGGCUACUGAAAAUGUUCCCAGACCCUAGGCUACUGAAAAGGCUACUGAAAAUGUUCCCAGACCCUCGGCUACUGAAAAUGUUCCCUGACCCUAGGCUACUGAAAAUGUUCCCCGGACCCUAGGCUACUGAAAAUGUUCCCCGGACCCUCCGAUUUACAAAUUAAUCAGUGUGUGUGUGUGUGUGUGUGUGUGUGUGUGUGUGUGUGUGUGUGUGUGUGUGUGUGUGUGUGUGUGUGUGUGUGUGUGUUUGGGCAGAUUAGAAGUGUUGGGUCCUUCCUGGUAUGAAAAAGGGUGAAAGGUCACAAACCCCGGUUUGGGCAGAAUAGAAGUGUUGGUUCCUUCCUGCUAUGAAAAAGGGUGAAAGGUCACGAACCCGGGUUUGGGCAGAAUAGAAGCGUUGGUUUCUAUUAUUGAUGUUACUAUGUGGACCGGACUGGGUCUGUGUUUUUUAUUUUAUUUACCACAACUAGAACCCGUGGAACCGUCUAGACGUGUUGUUUCCUUGUGAUGAGAUUGCUGUGGAACAGGAUUAUUAUUAUUAUUGUUAUUGUUAUUAUUAUUAUGCAUCUGAUCAUCUAUUACUCUAAAUGACGACGAGCAAUAAAGUUGAGAUCC
ensembl:lncRNA